GAUGAACGCUAGCGGCAGGCUUAAUACAUGCAAGUCGAGGGGCAGCAGGGAUAGCAAUAUUCGCUGGCGACAGGCGCACGGGUGCGUAACACGUAUACAAUCUGCCUUUAACAGGGGGAUAGCCCGGAGAAAUCCGGAUUAAUACCCCAUAACACGAGAUGUGGCAUCACAUUUUGUUGAAAGCUCCGGCGGUUAGAGAUGAGUAUGCGUCUGAUUAGUUAGUUGGUGAGGUAACGGCUCACCAAGACCACGAUCAGUAGGGGAUCUGAGAGGAUUAACCCCCACACGGAUACUGAGACACGGAUCCGACUCCUACGGGAGGCAGCAGUAAGGAAUAUUGGACAAUGCCCGCAAGGGUGAUCCAGCCAUGCCGCGUGCAGGAAGACGGCCCUAUGGGUUGUAAACUGCUUUUACACCGGAGAAAACCCCCCUUCGUGAAGGGGGCUGAUAGUAUGGUGAGAAUAAGCAUCGGCUAACUUCGUGCCAGCCGCCGCAGUAACAC
rnacentral:rRNA from 1 species